AGAGUUUGAUCAUGGCUCAGAACGAACGCUGGCGGCAGGCCUAACACAUGCAAGUCGAACGCCUGUAGCAAUACAGGAGUGGCGCACGGGUGAGUAACGCGUGGGAAUCUGCCCUUCGGUACGGAAUAACCGCGGGAAACUGCGGCUAAUACCGUAUACGCCCUCAGGGGGAAAGCUCCGGCGCCGAAGGAUGAGCCCGCGUCCGAUUAGCUUGUUGGCGGGGUAAAAGCCCACCAAGGCGACGAUCGGUAGCUGGUCUGAGAGGAUGAUCAGCCACACUGGAACUGAGACACGGUCCAGACUCCUACGGGAGGCAGCAGUGGGGAAUAUUGGACAAUGGGGGCAACCCUGAUCCAGCCAUGCCGCGUGAGUGAAGAAGGCCCUAGGGUUGUAAAACUCUUUCGGCGGGGAAGAUGAUGACGGUACCCGCAGAAGAAGCCCCGGCUAACUUCGUGCCAGCAGCCGCGGUAAUACGAAGGGGGCUAGCGUUGUUCGGAAUUACUGGGCGUAGAGGGCGUGUAGGCGGCUCACUAAGUCACGUGUGAAAGCCCCGGGCUUAACCCGGGAAUUGCGCGUGAGACUGGUGAGCUAGAAUCCGGGAGAGGGUAGUGGAAUUCCCAGUGUAGAGGUGAAAUUCGUAGAUAUUGGGAAGAACACCAGUGGCGAAGGCGGCUACCUGGACCGGUAUUGACGCUAAGGCGCGAAAGCGUGGGGAGCAAACAGGAUUAGAUACCCUAGUAGUCC
rnacentral:rRNA from 1 species